AAUAGUCAAAAGACAAGGGGAUCUAAUGGCGGAAUAGGAGACGAAGAUUACAGAGAAGCAGAAAAAUUCAGGAAGAACUGAAGUGGUCAAGGGCUUAAGUUUUUAGUUCAAAUCCCUGUCCUACUCCUGAACAUCUGCCACUUUGGACAAGGUUAUCUUCCCAAGCCUCAGUUUCUUCAGCUGUGUAAUGGGAAUGACGUUUCUUUCCUCUCUGGGCCAGCAUGGUGACGGCUGGGGAUAUCUGCCCUGCAGGCUCUGGAGUCAGAAAGCCUGGCUUUCAGUUUUGGCUUCACCACGUCCCAGCUGUUUGACCUUAGACUCAAUAACCAUUUUCAGUCUCCUUUCCUGAAAAAAUGAGUAUAAUGAGAGUACUUAUCUUCUAGGGGAUGAUUGGAGAAUUAAAUGAGUUAAAACCACUGAAAUGCUUAGAAGAAUACUUGGCAUGUAACAAGCCUUAAAACAACAUUGGCUGCUUCAGUAUCCUGUGAUAAACCAUAAUGGAAAAGAAUGCGAAAAAGAAUGUAUACGUAUAUACAUAUAUAUGUAUAACCGAAUCACUUUGUUGUACAGCAGAAAUUAACGCAACAUUGUAAAUCAACUAGACUCCGAUAAGAUAAAUUUAAAAAACAACAUUGGUUGCAAUGUGUUAGAUAUUAUCAUGAGUUUUAAAUUAACUAAUGUAUAUAAAGAAAAUGAUAAGUGGUCAGUAAGUGUUAAAACAACGAUUUGAUCUGUAUGUAUUUCAUAGCAAGUGGUAUAUUAUAUGUGAACACCAACUAAAUGUUUCUGAUUUGACGUCACCAUCACUAAGGACAAAUAACUCACACGUCGCAUGACAAGCUGUUUCCAACUUCAAAAGGAUGAACGGAUUGUGGUUGACUUCAGGAGUUGGAAAGCAGGAGGGUCUUUAUGGCUGAUCCCAAGGCUUAGAAGCAAGAGAAGGAUGAAAACCUUGACCCCAAGAAACAGCUCAGUACAGGAAGUGAUGAGGCCGAAGGGAAAGCUAAAGGAUGUGACGGGAAAGACCGGAGCUCUCGCUUAUCGGAGGGGAUUCCUGAGCCACCAGGCAUGAUGUCUGGCUCUGCGGCCACACUGGUGCUCAGGAAGCUGGCGUUCACUACGCUUGGAGCCUGGAGGAAGGAAGAACCAGGCAAGCUCUAGAACGGGAGACGGGCAUUCAGGUAACGGCAGCCGGCAGAGGGGUGGGCUUCGGCUCGGUAUCUCCCCAGGUGAAUCUCCUCCGACCACGAGCACUGAGCUCACCUGGCGUACUGGUUGACAAGGCAGACCCCCAGCCUCUCCCCCAGACCUACUAAGCCAGCACCCCUGGUGGCGAGGCCCUGGAAUCAGCAUAGUAACAGCCACUCCAAAACUUUCCCAUCCUUCUGCAUGUUAAUACCGGAGAACCCCUGGCUUAGGUUUUGUUCUCUAGAAAUCUGGGUGCCUGGAUGAGAAAUGGGAACAACUGUCCAGUUAUUUCCCAGAACUCUGAAGACUGAACAUCCACGCACAGGCCGUGCAUAGGGUUAUAACUGAAUAGAUCUCAUUCCCCUUACAACGUCCCUAACGCACACAAUCGCUAUUGUGCUACUUGGUAAUUAGGCGUCAUUGUGAAUGUUUCCCCAAGUGACUGCGAUUCAUGUGGUUUUCAAACACUUCAAGCCAGCAUUUCUGCCAGCAGCAGGGGAGAGAGGCGGGAGCUGGAGGGUGCUGUAAGGAGAAUAUCAACUCUUACCAGCA